UCGCAAGUCGCAAAUAGCCAACGAUCAGCAAGCAACAAGUGAAGUGUUAUUUUUUAAGUAGCUAGAUUUGUUUGAAAUAUCAAACUACAUUCACCCACUCCACAAAGUGCAGCUUGAACCGAACACGUUAACUACUAAUGAGUUAACUCAACCAACUCUGAUCUCAAGUCAACUAAAUAGCAUAUCGGACUCUGAUGGGAGCCCAAAUCCACCAGUCUCUACUCGUUCUGUAAAAUCAUCACAUAUAUUGACUCGCCAACAAGGAUAUUGCACACAAGGACUCACCUCUGCCCGGUUGUAGCCAGAGAUUUUGCAGAAAGACUCGUUGCAGUAAACUAUGGGAAAGUCCACUAUCUGGGCGUUGGCAAGGAGGAAACUGCUAUCCGCUGAAACACAAUGGAGAAAUCAGUAUUAGAACAGCAGCAAGCUGAUAAAUCUCAACUUCAGACUAAGAACUCCGACCACGAAUCUGUUGAAGCAGACAACAAUAUGACAACGUUAACCGCCUCAUCUGCCCGAUUUGCAACGUACUCGUCCUAAACUCGCAGCAUGACUUCACACUGCACAUACGCUCACACAACAAUAACAACGGUGAUGCGUCCUCCAACCACAUA